GGGUGGAAGAAAAGUAAGCCGGCAGCUGUGGAGUGAUGGACCAUUAUCCCAGAUCAAAGCAGGGCUCAGCAGGAACGGCACAAGAAAACACAGUAAGCCUGCUAUAUUAGAAGUUGGUGGACACUGUUGCAGUCUACUGAAAAUACUCAAAGUACCUCCCUGGCAAUAUUGUGUUAAAAAAUGUACUCGGAGGAGCAGCUGGAGGACAUAACCUUGACAUGAUAUCGUCAGCAGCUCAGCAUAUUCACACAAUGCAACAGGCAGAGAGAUAGUGAAGCAAUGACUGCAAGGCACUGGAACAGCUGAGGUUAAGUACUGUAGUAUAAAAUGAUUUGAUGUUCCUCUCUCAUGCCUACAGUGCCCUGUUUUCAAUCUGUCACUCAAGCAUGAAUCUACGAGGCAGGGGCUGAGAGUUGGGCAAGACUGCGUCUGUCAUUUUACCAAGUGUCUCUUGCCCUUGUACUCUAUUAGUUUAUCAGCGAGUCUCAUAUGGAGUGGUAAUCGUUACCAGCAUAUUGGAGUGAUUUCUUUUAGACUCAGUGAGAGAGAUCAAUUCUGUUUGUCAUUCCUCCCUGCCCACUCCUCCAUCUUGGAGGAUGUGUGUGUGUGUGUGUGUUUGUUUGUGUGUAUAUGUACA